rnacentral:rRNA from 1 species
CUUGAAACACGGACCAAGGAGUUUAUCGUGUACGCAAGUCAUUGGGUUAGCUAAACCCAAAGGCGAAAUGAAAGUAAAUAGUGUUUAAUUUUUUAUUUUACACUUAAGGGAAGAUAAAAACUGUUUGUAGAUUUUAAAUUUUUUUUUUUAUAGAAAAAAAUUUAGUUUACAUGAUGGUUUUUCGCACUCCCAGGGCGCUUGUGUUCUCGCUUUGCGAGUCGAUGCGCACCUAGAGCGUACACGCUGAUACCCGAAAGAUGGUGAACUAUGCCUGGCCAGGACGAAGCCAGGGGAAACCCUGGUGGAGGUCCGCAGCGAUUCUGACGUGCAAAUCGAUCGUCGGAGCUGGGUAUAGGGGCGAAAGACCAAUCGAACCAUCUAGUAGCUGGUUCCCUCUGAAGUUUCCCUCAGGAUA